rnacentral:tRNA from 1 species
GACCUCUUAGCUCAGCUGGUGAAGCACUCGUGGCACUAAAGCGAGGGUGGCAACCAUACGUGGGUUAGAAUCCCGCAGGGAUCG